rnacentral:rRNA from 1 species
CGGCGGCGGUCACGCGGUUUCUUAAGUCUGAUGCGAAACACCCACGGCUCAACCGUGGAGGGUCAUUGGAAACUGGGGAACUUGAGUGCAGAAGAGGAGAGUGGAAUUCCAUGUGUAGCGGUGAAAUGCGCAGAGAUAUGGAGGAACACCAGUGGCGAAGGCGGCUCUCUGGUCUGUAACUGACGCUGAUGUGCGAAAGCGUGGGGAUCAAACAGGAUUAAUACCCUGGUAGUCCACGCCGUAAACGAUGAGUGCUAAGUGUUAGGGGGUUUCCGCCCCUUAUGCUGCAGCUAACGCAUUAAGCACUCCGCCUGGGGAGUAGGACGGGCAAGGUUGAAACUCAAAGGAAUUGACGGGGACCCGCGCAAGCGGGGGGAGCAGG